CAACAGGGAUUGCCUUAGUAACGGCGAGUGAAGCGGCAACAGCUCAAAUUUGAAAUCUGGCCCUUGGGUCCGAAUUGUAAUUUGUAGAGGAUGAUUUUGGUGCGGUAUCUUCCGAGUUCCUUGGAACAGGACGCCUUAGAGGGUGAGAGCCCCGUACGGUUGAAUGCCUAGCCUCUGUAAAUCUCCUUCGACGAGUCGAGUAGUUUGGGAAUGCUGCUCUAAAUGGGAGGUAAAUUUCUUCUAAAGCUAAAUAUUGGCCAGAGACCGAUAGCGCACAAGUAGAGUGAUCGAAAGAUGAAAAGCACUUUGAAAAGAGGGUUAAAUAGCACGUGAAAUUGUUGAAAGGGAAGGAUUUGUGACCAGACUUUUUCUGGGCGGAUCAUCCGGGGUUCUCUCCGGUGCACUUCGCCCAGUAAAGGCCAGCAUCGGUUUUCGGCGUGGGAUAAAAGCAGUAGGAAUGUGGCUCUCUACGGGGAGUGUUAUAGCCUAUUGUAUAAUACCGCGCUGGGGACCGAGGUUCGCGCUUCUGCAAGGAUGCUGGCGUAAUGGUUAUCAAUCACCCGUCUUGAAACACGGACCAAGGAGUCGAACAUUUGUGCGAGUGUUUGGGUGUUAAACCCUCACGCGUAAUGAAAGUGAACGGAGGUGAGAGCCCUUACGGGUGCAUCAUCGACCGAUCCUGAAGUUUUCGGAUGGAUUUGAGUAAGAGCAUAACUGUUCGGACCCGAAAGAUGGUGAACUAUGCGUGGAUAGGGUGAAGCCAGAGGAAACUCUGGUGGAGGCUCGCAGCGGUUCUGACGUGCAAAUCGAUCGUCAAAUCUGCGCAUGGGGGCGAAAGACUAAUCGAACCAUCUAGUAGCUGGUUA
rnacentral:rRNA from 1 species